UGUGUCUAACUAUCUUUCUUUCUCACGCUAUACAGCCUUGAUCAAAUAUAUAUCCUCAUUUUUCUUUACACCUAAAUCCUACAAAGCCCUGCCUCAUUUUAAGUAUUGUAGCCCCUGAUCACUGAUACCCUGUCCAAGUGAUGUAGGGCCCCGUAACGUAUGACAAGGCUCUGCCUAAAUUCGUUGGGGGUUCUGUCUCGUGACGUAGGGAUAAAGUAGAAUUGGGUUGCUAUACUUAAUGUGAGUGCACUAUAUAUUUUAUUAAAUAACCCAUGAGUGAUACCCAAAAUAGAACAACCCUCCUAAAACACCCCUGACACCCAUACACUUCCUAAAAUACACCCCGUAUGUGAAAACCGAACCCGAAAUACAAUAUAUUAUUAAAAAUAAUUAAAAAUAAGAAAAUAUGAGUUGAGGCGGGCCGCAUAGACCCACCCUAACCUUUAACACGGGCCGCAAUAAGGUGUAACCGGACUCUGCUGGAAUCUUUAGUUCAUGCGGGCCGCGUAAGAUAUCGUUAAGUUAACGCGGGCCGCGAGAGAUCGAAGUUGUGGCGCAGCCCGGUGAUGACACGUGUCAUCAUCGUGGCGGGUCUAGGGGGUGAGCCGGACAAGCUAGUCCGUUGACCAGGAUUGACGCGGGCCGCAUAAUCCCUGUCCAUUCUUUACGCGGGCCGCGUGGGAACCAGUUUCAGCAACUAUAUAAGGAACGCAUCGGAUUUCAAUUCAGUUCGUUCAUUUCUCAAUUCUCAAUCACAAUUUCUGUAGUAGGCUUAUUAUACUCGGGUAUUAUACCCCCUAAUUAGCGAAGCUCUGCCUCGUUAUUAUAACCAGAAAGUCACAAAGGAAAGCCCUAUAAUAGCAAUGUAACUUAGUGUGAAGCCAAUAAAAGCCAGCUGGAGAGCACUGAAGGCUUGGAAGAGUGGCAAUAAAGUUACAUAAAAUAAAAUAGAUGUUUUUACUAAAUAAAAUAGGAUUUAUUCCUAUGAAAAUGUGUGUACCACAAACUUGGGUUUUACCCAUGUGUUUAAUGUUAUAAAAUGUGGUGGUUUACUCUGAUAAAAU